ACGUCAAUUUUGGGGACACCUAUUUCCAGCAUUGUUUAAAAUCAGUUAACUACUAUUCACCACACAGAUCGUAGGAACAGUUCCCAACCUACAACUAAAUUGCUUUGCACAAAUGCUCUCUCAGAUUCUGGUUCCAGCCAUGUGAUGUUUGAAGACGACACUCUGAUGGGUUAUGCUCCUGUGCCUAUAACUACUGUUCUAACAGAUCCUGGGCCAAGCCAAGUAAUGUUUGAAGAUGACACUCUGAUUGAUUCAGUUCCUGUGCCUGUCACUUCUGCUCUUCCUGGUAUUUCAAAACACUGUACAGUGAUUCAAACUGUUGAUAUAUUUCAUUUCUUAAAAUUAGAUCCUGGGUCAAGCC